rnacentral:rRNA from 1 species
UACAGAGGGUGCAAGCGUUAAUCGGAAUUACUGGGCGUAAAGCGUGCGUAGGCGGCUACAUAAGUCGGGUGUGAAAGCCCCGGGCUCAACCUGGGAAUUGCAUUCGAGACUGCGUAGCUAGGGUGCGGAAGAGGGAAGCGGAAUUUCCGGUGUAGCGGUGAAAUGCGUAGAUAUCGGAAGGAACACCAGUGGCGAAGGCGGCUUCCUGGUCCAGCACCGACGUUCAGGCACGAAAGCGUGGGGAGCAAACAGG